rnacentral:lncRNA from 1 species
UGAAUGCCAUGUAAAUCUUUAAAUGAAACAAUUGAUAUAAGUAUGAAAAACCCUAGAAAAUCCCAUCUUUCCUACUAGUAUGAAAUGUAGUCUUCUACCAAGACCCGAAUCUUUUGUUAUGACAAUGUAGUCUUCUACCAAGACCCGAAUGUUUUACUAUGAUAAUGAUAGUUUUCCUUCUUUUUGACUAUUACAAACAGUACUUAGUCUAACUCAUCGUUUAUGUGAAUGUAUCACAAAAUAAAGUAAAUAGGAAAAGAAUAUAAUAGUCUUCUACCAAGACCCGAAUGUUUUGCUAUGAAAAUGAUAGUUUUUCCAUCUUUUUGACUAUUACAAAUAGUACUUAGUCUAACUCAUCGUUUAUGUGAAUGUAUCACAAAAUAAAGUAAUAGGAAAAAUAUAAUCAUGUAAGUGUUAUCCUUUUGUAUUAGGAUUAACAUGACAUCGCGAUUUGCGAAAUGUAUAACCUUUGAACAUCCGUAGAUUGUUCAAUUGUCCUCUGUAGCUACAACAGGGCGGAGGAAGGGUUAGUCCCGUUAAGGUACUCCUAAUAUAAGUAUUAACCGUAGGCAUUCGUAGAUGUUCAUCGACCUCUGUAGCGAACAGUAGGCCCGAGGAAUGGUUUGUCCCGUAGAGGUACUCCUAGUAUAAGUAAUAACCGUAGGCAUCCGUAGAUGUUCAUCAACCACUGGUGCUAACAGUUGGUAAGUUUUUAGACUUGUUGCCAUAUCACAACCAUUCUUGGGCAUGUGCUAAUCACUCCUCAGAACAGCAUAGUUGAUCAGGCUAUGCUACUCCCAAGACUGACCAUACAUCCCCAGGCUUACUUGUGAUAUUCAACAAUCGUAAUACUUUUGUUCUUGUCAUUGUGACACUGAUUUUAGUAUGAAUGCAGGCACUUAUACUUACUUAAAUAAUUUAUUAUUUAAAAGUAUAACUCUUAGAGAGAGUGUUUUAAUCCCAAUGUAUUUAUAAUUAGUAUAUCUUUUAUGGGUUGAUAUACUUAAUUCACUAUAAAAAAUGCUCUGAUACCAAUCUGUCACACCCCAAAACCAAGAACGACGGAAACGUUCCGGGGUGGAGGACGUCAUGUGAAGUAUCAUAACAGUGUAAAGUAGUAAACAAGCAACAACAUCAUCCAUUGCAUUAAAAGUAAAGUUUUAAUACAUGUGUGUUCUUUCAUAAUGUACAACAAUAAAAUGAAUAAUCAAAAUAAGACGAGUCUUGUCUGUGCUCCGUCUUCUCAAAACCUGGCCAUCGUACCUGUCUAACCGGUGACCUGAGAAUACAAGUUAUUUUGAAAGUGAGUAUCAGCCUAAAGCUGGUGAAUUCAUAAGUAUUUAAGUGUCAUUGUCUUGUUUUGGAAAGCUAUUAUGAAUGCCAUGUAAAUCUUUAAAUGAAACAAUUGAUAUAAGUAUGAAAAACCCUAGAAAAUCCCAUCUUUCCUACUAGUAUGAAAUGUAGUCUUCUACCAAGACCCGAAUCUUUUGUUAUGACAAUGUAGUCUUCUACCAAGACCCGAAUGUUUUACUAUGAUAAUGAUAGUUUUCCUUCUUUUUGACUAUUACAAACAGUACUUAGUCUAACUCAUCGUUUAUGUGAAUGUAUCACAAAAUAAAGUAAAUAGGAAAAGAAUAUAAUAGUCUUCUACCAAGACCCGAAUGUUUUGCUAUGAAAAUGAUAGUUUUUCCAUCUUUUUGACUAUUACAAAUAGUACUUAGUCUAACUCAUCGUUUAUGUGAAUGUAUCACAAAAUAAAGUAAUAGGAAAAAUAUAAUCAUGUAAGUGUUAUCCUUUUGUAUUAGGAUUAACAUGACAUCGCGAUUUGCGAAAUGUAUAACCUUUGAACAUCCGUAGAUUGUUCAAUUGUCCUCUGUAGCUACAACAGGGCGGAGGAAGGGUUAGUCCCGUUAAGGUACUCCUAAUAUAAGUAUUAACCGUAGGCAUUCGUAGAUGUUCAUCGACCUCUGUAGCGAACAGUAGGCCCGAGGAAUGGUUUGUCCCGUAGAGGUACUCCUAGUAUAAGUAAUAACCGUAGGCAUCCGUAGAUGUUCAUCAACCACUGGUGCUAACAGUUGGUAAGUUUUUAGACUUGUUGCCAUAUCACAACCAUUCUUGGGCAUGUGCUAAUCACUCCUCAGAACAGCAUAGUUGAUCAGGCUAUGCUACUCCCAAGACUGACCAUACAUCCCCAGGCUUACUUGUGAUAUUCAAC